GGUUCUAAAAUAUGUAACCUUAAAACUACUGCAUUAUGAGUUGUAGAGGUCUUCAAAUGUGGAUAGUAAUGACAUAGGUGUAGGGAAAUGUAAACAUAACGCAAAAUAAUGUUUAUACCAAAUGGAAAGGUUAAAAAUAGAACACAGGGUGGGGAGAGGAUUGAUGAUAGUUAAAAUGUUUGUGUUUUUACAUUUUGUGUGUGCAGUUAAUGUCAACUAUCAUCUUAAAAUGCAUUUUAAAAUUUCAAAAUUAUGUUCAAGAACUAUAUAGUAUAUUAUCUCUAAGUUAGAAUAAGAAAAAAGCAAAUAAUUUCUUAGAAGUUGAGAAACGAACAUGGGGUACAUGAAACAAAAUAAAAUGGCAAAAUAGUUACUAAUAAAUGUAAAAGUGUUAAAGUAGCCAGAGGGGGAGAAACAUUUGAGUAUGAAAGCUAAACAAACCCCAGCCAUAUGCUGUUUACAGAGACAUUUUUGUCUUUGCAGCUAUAAGUACCAGUAAGAAUGAAUUUUAUCAACAGUGUUGAAACAGGCCAGUCUCAGAAAGUAGCACAUGUUAUGGUACUCAUUAAACAAAAAUAAGCAAAACAACUGGAUUUAGACAUAUGUGUAUAUGCAGGUGGUUAUUACUACCUAUAGUGAGUUACUGUAGGUAUUAACCAAGUAAAUAUUCAGGGGCUGAAAGUUACACACUAGCCAAGUAUGUGGAAAACCCUAGGUUGAUCCUUAGCGUUGCAAAAAAGAAAAGAAAAAAAUGUAAAUUCUCUACAACAGUUAGGAGUAAAGCUACCAUGACAUUUUUUUUUAAAGACUUUAUUUAAUAUAUGUAGUCUUCUCAUUAACAGUGUGCCUAGGGCCAGCCAACUGCACCAUUACUCAUGCUUGAAUAAAGCUUAUCCGACCCGUAUCUUUUCUCCAGAAGGCACAUUAGAGCAUUCUUGCACAGAACACUAGGCAACAUGCUUGGGAACCAUCUUAAGCAGUAAAAUCAACACAAAAAUGAAAAAACAGCACAAAGUAAACCAUGAAAAGAGUACUUGUCAUGAGAGCCAAAACAAGAAAGAAGUCAGAUUACAUAGAGCAGGCCCUUGAAGGGGAUAUUGAUACCCUGGCAUCUCUUCCUGCUUCCUUACUGCCAUGAAGUGAACAAGCCUUCCUUCACCUGCUUCACCAUGGUGUACUUUGCUGCCACCAGCCCAAGCAAGGGGUCAAACAACCAUGGACUGAGCCAAAAUAAAACUUCCAUCCUUUUAAAUUGGCCAUCUCAUGUAUUUUCCCACAGUAACAGCUAACAACCAAAAAUUUUAAACUAAAAUUGGUGGUUUACCAAGUGGGAGUAGAAUAAGUAAGUUUCUAAUGAGAUGGGCUGGUGGGUUCGUGGAUAUGAAUAAAGAACCAAACGUGAACUAAAGAGACAGUUUUGUUAUUCAGCUUUGCAUGAAAGUGAAUAGCCGUGCUUGUUUUGACAGCACAUACGCUGAAAUUGUAAGAUUAAUCACCAUUGUCUUUAAGAAAAAUGAUAGAAUACUGAAAAUAAAGUGGAAAGUAGGAGGUACUGUAAAAACUUGUUAUCCCUUGGAUGUGAUGGAAGAAAACUUUAAAGUGCUGAUGAGAAACAUUGAAAAGAGACAUAUCUUGUUCUUGGAUAAGAUUCAACAUUAUUUUGAAAGGUGUCAGUUCUCCCUAAGUUAAAUUACAUAUUUGUCAUAAUCCUAAUAAAAUACAUUAUUUUUGAUCUGG